rnacentral:rRNA from 1 species
AUACGGAGGGUGCAAGCGUUAUCCGGAUUCAUUGGGAUUAAAGGGUGCGCAGGCGGAAUGAUAAGUCAGUGGUGAAAUCCUACAGCUUAACUGUAGAACUGCCAUUGAUACUGUCAUUCUUGAGUACACUUGAAGUGGGCGGAAUGUAUCAUGUAGCGGUGAAAUGCAUAGAUAUGAUACAGAACUCCGAUAGCGAAGGCAGCUCACUAAAUUGUAACUGACGCUCAGGCACGAAAGCGUGGGGAGCAAACAGGAUUAGAAACCCCAGUAGUCC